rnacentral:rRNA from 1 species
GAUGAACGCUGGCGGCGUGCCUAAUACAUGCAAGUCGAGCGAACAGACGAGGAGCUUGCUCCUCUGACGUUAGCGGCGGACGGGUGAGUAACACGUGGAUAACCUACCUAUAAGACUGGGAUAACUUCGGGAAACCGGAGCUAAUACCGGAUAAUAUAUUGAACCGCAUGGUUCAAUAGUGAAAGACGGUUUUGCUGUCACUUAUAGAUGGAUCCGCGCCGCAUUAGCUAGUUGGUAAGGUAACGGCUUACCAAGGCAACGAUGCGUAGCCGACCUGAGAGGGUGAUCGGCCACACUAGAACUGAGACACGGUCCAGACUCCUACGGGAGGCAGCAGUAGGGAAUCUUCCGCAAUGGGCGAAAGCCUGACGGAACAACGCCGCGUGAGUGAUGAAGGUCUUCGGAUCGUAAAACUCUGUUAUUAGGGAAGAACAAAUGUGUAAGUAACUAUGCACGUCUUGACGGUACCUAAUCAGAAAGCCACGGCUAACUACGUG